UUCGUGUAAGUUUCUCAUAGAAAGCUGCAACUUUCAACUUACAUAAUACAGACAACUUCCCCAGCCGCUGUUGUUGGCGCGUGGUUUACAUCACUACAUUCCUUGCUGUAACCCCCAAGAAAUCCCCUCAUCUUUCCCUCUCAUUAAAAUUCUCACCUUUUACUCCAUUAAAGUUACACAGUUUUUGCUGAGAAAUAAAAUACAACACAGUUGAUUCCCAUUAACCCCCGCACCCCCACGCCCACCCCACCCCAUCCAAAAGUCGAAUAUACCCGUUACUUUAUUUUAUUGUAGUAUAGUAUAGUAUAUGCACACAGCACAUACAUGUGUCUGCUUAUUUGCUAUACUUGCUGCAAGUAACAACUUUGCUGUUUGAAAUUUUUGAACAGAAAAAAAAUAUUUGGAGAGUUACCCAUUAGUGUAAAGCUGCUGCAGAACUAAAUGCAAUGAAUCUCCGGCAACGGCCACCAUUCACGCGCGGUCGUGGUGAUCACGCGCCGCCAAGAAUCGAGCCGUACAACAUAAUCCCCAUCCAUAUCUUACUUGCUGACCACCCUUCACUUCGUUACCCUGAAGUACGCGCCGCUUCAGCUGCUCUACGCGCCGUCGGGGAUCUCCCGUUGCCACCAUUCAUGCCAUGGGGUGACAACAAGGACUUAAUGGACUGGCUUGGACAAUUUUUUGGGUUUCAAGAUGAUAAUGUAAAGAAUCAAAGGGAAAACCUAGUUCUUCAUUUGGCUAAUGCUCAAAUGCGCAUUCAUCCACCACUUGCCACACCUGACCGUCUUGAUUAUGGUGUUUUAAGGCAGUUCAGGCAGAAGUUGUUGAAGAAUUACUCAUCUUGGUGUUCAUAUCUUGGUAAAAAGUCACAAGUUAAGUUACCAAGAAGGCAAAGUCCAGAACGUUCAAGACGUGAGCUUUUGUAUGUAUGUCUUUAUUUGUUGAUUUGGGGUGAGGCUGCUAAUCUACGUUUUGCUCCUGAGUGUUUAUGUUAUAUAUAUCAUCAUAUGGCUAUGGAAAUGAAUUAUAUUGUUGAUGGUCAUAUUGAUGAGAAUACUGGACAAGCUUAUGUUCCUUUUACUUUUAAGCAGUUUGGUUUCUUGGAUAAAGUUGUAACUCCUAUUUAUAAUACAAUUAGUGGUGAAGUCGAGAGGAGUAGAAAUGGGACUGCCCCUCAUUCAGCUUGGAGGAAUUAUGAUGAUAUAAAUGAGUAUUUUUGGACUAGGAAGUGUUUUAGGAGGUUGAAAUGGCCUCUUGACUUGUCGAGUGCUUUUCUGGAUACUACUGUAGGUAGGAGAGUUGGUAAGACAGGGUUUGUUGAGCAGAGGACUUUCUGGAAUAUAUUUAGGAGCUUUGAUAGGUUGUGGGUGUUGUUGAUAUUGUUCUUUCAGGCUGCUGUUAUUGUUGCUUGGCAAGGCACAGAUUAUCCGUGGCAGGCUUUGGAAAAGAGGGAUGUGCAAGUGCAGUUGCUUACUAUCUUCAUAACUUGGGCUGGUUUGAGGUUUAUACAGUCAAUCCUUGAUGCUGGAACUCAGUAUAGUUUAGUUUCCAGGGAUACUAUGUGGAUAGGUGUGAGAAUGGUAUUGAAAAGCAUAGUUGCUGUGACAUGGGCAGUUGUGUUUGGGGUGUUCUAUGCCAGGAUUUGGAGCCAGAGGAAUUCUGAUAGGAGGUGGUCAUAUGAGGCGAACCAAAGGAUCUUCACAUUUCUUGAGGCUGCUUUGGUGUUUGUCGCCCCAGAGUUGUUAGCUCUUGUCCUUUUCAUUCUCCCAUGGCUACGAAAUGUGAUUGAAAAAACAAACUGGCCAAUUUUUUACUUACUAACAUGGUGGUUCCACACUAGGAUAUUUGUGGGUCGUGGGCUCAGAGAAGGGCUUAUUAAUAACAUAAAGUACACAUUGUUCUGGAUUGCAGUAUUGGCUUCCAAAUUUGUCUUCAGUUAUGCCUUUCAAAUAAGGCCACUGCUUGGUCCUACGCGAGCUCUUUUGAAUAUAAAAAAUGCGAAGUACAAGUGGCAUGAAUUUUUCGGUAGCACCAAUGAGCUAGCAACUGUUUUGUUGUGGAUUCCAGUUGUUCUAAUUUAUCUAGUUGACCUGCAGAUUUGGUACACUAUAUAUUCCGCUAUUGUAGGAGGAACAGUUGGGUUGUUCUCACAUAUAGGUGAAAUUAGGAACAUUAAACAGCUCAGACUCAGAUUCCAGUUCUUUGCAAGUGCAAUGCAGUUCAAUCUGAUGCCCGAGAUUCAGACUAUAGAUGCUACGGCCACCCUGGUUCACAAGCUUCGGAAUGCAAUACAUCGGAUUAAGUUAAGAUAUGGACUUGGAAGCCCAUACAAGAAGAUUGAAUCGAGCCAGGUGGAUGCAACUAGGUUUGCCUUAAUAUGGAAUGAGAUCAUCAUAACUCUGAGGGAGGAAGACUUCGUGAGCGAUCAUGAGCUGGAGCUUAUGGAGUUGCCACCAAACUGUUGGGAUAUUAAGGUUAUUCGUUGGCCGUGUUUUCUCUUGUGCAACGAGUUGCUUCUUGCUCUCAGCCAUGCAAGCGAGCUGGCAGAUGCACCUGACAGAUGGGUUUGGUUUAGGAUAUGCAAGAAUGAGUAUAGGAGGUGUGCAGUGAUUGAGGCUUAUGACAGCAUCAAAUACUUGCUACUAGAGAUCAUAAAAUAUGACACUGAAGAGCAUUCAAUAGUCACUGCACUUUUCCAUGAUAUUGAUGAUUGCAUUCGCUUUGAAAAGUUUACUAAAGCCUACAAGAUGACCCUCUUGCCACGCAUUCAUGAAAAGUUGGUGUCUCUUAUUGAGCUUUUGCUCAGGCCAGAGCCGGAUUUGUGUGAUAUUGUCAAUGUAUUACAGGCCUUGUAUGAGGUUUCCGUUAGGGAAUUUCCAAGGGUGAAGAAGAGAACAGAACAACUGAUGCAGGAAGGUCUUGCUCCUAGAAAUCCAGAUACGGGGCUUCUUUUUGAAAACGUGAUUGAGUUUCCUGAUAUUCAAGAUGCUUUCUUCUACAGGCAGCUGCGCCGUUUGCGGACAAUUCUUACUUCCAGAGAUUCAAUGCACUAUGUUCCAAGAAAUAAGGAAGCAAGAAGGCGUAUUGCUUUCUUCAGUAACUCUCUUUUUAUGAAUAUGCCACGAGCUCCCCAGGUAGAGAAGAUGAUGGCCUUCAGCGUCUUGACCCCUUACUACGAUGAGGAAGUUCUGUUUGGCAAAGAAAAUCUUAGGAGUCCCAAUGAAGAUGGAGUAUCCACCAUAUUUUAUCUGCAGAGGAUUUAUGAUGAUGAGUGGGAGAAUUUCAUGGAACGGAUGCGUAAAGAAGGAAUGCAGGAUGAGGAGGAGAUAUGGAACACUAAAGCAAGGGAGAUCCGUCAAUGGGCAUCGUACAGGGGCCAGACUCUGUCCCGUACUGUAAGAGGCAUGAUGUAUUAUUACAAGGCUCUCAAGAUGCUUUCCUUCCUUGAUUCUGCUUCAGAGGUCGAUAUAAGGCAUGGCUCACAAGAAAUUGCUUCACUAGGUUCAUUGAACCAAAAUAAUCACCUGAACGGGUUAAGCUCUGGCAUGUUACAAACUUCUCGAAAUCUUCACAGAUCAAGUAGCAGUGUCACCCUUCUUUUUAAAGGACACGAGCUUGGUGCUGCUCUUAUGAAAUUCACUUAUGUGGUGACCUGCCAGGUGUAUGGUUCUCAGAAGAAGAAGGGUGAUCGGCGUGCUGAGGAGAUCCUAAAUUUGAUGAAGCAUAAUGAGGCCCUCCGAAUUGCUUAUGUAGAUGAGGUUUACCUGGGAAGGAAUGAAGUAGAGUACUAUUCUGUUCUAGUGAAGUAUGAUCAACAACUGAAGAAAGAAGUGGAAAUUUAUCGCAUAAAGUUGCCUGGUCCUCUGAAACUUGGGGAGGGUAAGCCGGAGAAUCAGAACCAUGCCAUUAUCUUCACCAGAGGUGAAGCAGUUCAGACCAUAGACAUGAAUCAAGACAAUUACUUUGAAGAGGCACUUAAGAUGCGGAAUCUAUUGGAGGAAUUCAAGGAGAAUUAUGGUAUAAGGAAGCCCACCAUUCUGGGAGUUCGUGAAAAUAUCUUUACUGGUUCUGUGUCAUCUCUUGCUUGGUUCAUGUCUGCCCAGGAGACAAGUUUUGUGACUCUGGGGCAACGCGUUCUUGCUGAUCCUCUCAAGGUACGGAUGCACUAUGGUCAUCCAGAUGUCUUUGAUAGGUUCUGGUUCUUGUCCAGGGGUGGCAUCAGCAAGGCUUCCAAGGUGAUUAAUAUAAGUGAGGAUAUAUUUGCUGGAUUCAAUUGUACCUUGCGAGGUGGCAAUGUUACCCACCAUGAAUACAUACAAGUGGGUAAGGGAAGGGAUGUUGGAUUGAAUCAGAUCGCCAUGUUUGAGGCUAAGGUUGCUAGUGGCAAUGGUGAACAGGUUUUGAGCAGAGAUGUAUACAGGUUGGGUCAUAGACUAGAUUUCUUUCGCAUGCUUUCAUUCUUCUACACGACUGUUGGCUUCUUCUUCAACAACAUGAUAGUGGUAGUAAUGGUCUUUACAUUUUUGUGGGGGCGCCUUUAUCUUGCACUCAGUGGUGUUGAGGAGUAUGCCAGCAGAAAUGCCAGCAGCAACAAAGCACUUGGUUCAAUUUUGAAUCAGCAGUUUGUUAUCCAGCUUGGUUUGUUCACUGCCCUCCCUAUGAUUGUGGAGAACUCUUUGGAGCAUGGUUUCCUUCCGGCAGUCUGGGAUUUUGUAACUAUGCAACUGCAGCUUGCCUCACUAUUUUUCACGUACUCGAUGGGAACCCGUGCACAUUUCUUUGGUAGGACCAUUCUGCAUGGCGGAGCAAAGUACCGAGCAACUGGACGCGGUUUUGUUGUGGAGCGCAAGAGCUUUGGUGAGAACUAUCGACUAUAUUCUCGCAGCCACUUUGUCAAAGCAAUUGAACUUGGAGUUAUCCUGGUUGUGUAUGCUUCACAUAGCCCCGUGACUAAAGAUACCUUUGUGUAUAUAGCUAUGACUAUAUCAAGUUGGUUCCUUGUAGUGUCAUGGAUAACAUCUCCCUUUGUGUUCAAUCCCUCUGGGUUUGACUGGUUAAAAACUGUGUAUGACUUUGAUGAUUUCAUGCAUUGGAUUUGGUACAAUCGAGGAGUUUUUGUAAAAGCAGAUCAUAGUUGGGAGACAUGGUGGUAUGAAGAACAGGACCACUUGAGAACUACUGGCCUAUGGGGAAAAUUGCUUGAGAUUAUUUUAGAUCUUCGUUUCUUCUUCUUUCAAUAUGGAAUUGUGUAUCAACUACGCAUUGCUGGUGGUAAAACCAGUAUUGGUGUUUACUUGCUGUCUUGGAUUAUUAUGGUUGCUGUUGUGGCAAUUUACAUUGCCAUUGCUUAUGCAAAGGACAAAUAUGCUAUGAAUAAGCACAUAUAUUAUCGAAUGAUGCAGUUGCUUGUCAUUCUGCUCACGGUAUUGGUGAUUGCUAUGUUGUUGAGGUUCACCUCGUUUACGUGGUUUGAUUUGAUCACAAGUUUGUUGGCAUUUAUUCCAACUGGAUGGGGCUUAAUCCAAAUUGCCGUAGUGCUCCGGCCCUUUUUGCAGUCUACUUUGGUUUGGAGCACUGUUGUGUCCUUGGCUCGGCUAUAUGACAUGAUGCUUGGGCUAAUUGUUAUGGCUCCUCUGGCAUUGUUAUCAUGGAUGCCUGGUUUUCAAUCCAUGCAGACAAGGAUAUUAUUUAAUGAAGCUUUCAGCAGGGGCCUUCAGAUAUCUCGUAUCCUCACGGGAAAAACUUCAUAAUGUGAGAGAUUUAAUGGUUCUGGAAAGUGCUGUGUAGAAACAGAUCAAUUGAGAAUAUAUUUGCAACCUUUAUAUCUGCUGGCUGAAAUGCUUUUCUAGUGUAACUGACUAAGAUGAAUGCUAACGAGGUUAGCAAGUCUUAGCAUGCAAGAGUGCAACAUGUAGAUAAAGAACAAGUUAAUUAACUUCAGAGGCACGCGCUUCUCUUUUCUAGGUAGAUUCUAUAGGAUGUGUUUCCUGAUAAGCUCCUUCAUUUUUCGUGGGCUCUUGGAUGGGUAAUUUGAUUUUGUGCAAUCUACUCAGCCUGGGUACCCUAUCAUCCUUCAGUCUACCAAGUCAACGAGGUUUGUGCCAGUUAAACUAAAGCGGACGUGGAGCAGUUGGGGCGUUUCUUCUUAAUUUUAGUCUUAGUAUGGAUAGGUUCAGGAAUCAUCGCUAGAUGGUACCAUGUUUCCAAUUUUGUAGUUCUGUACAUAUGGCCGCGUGUAAAUGACAUAUUAGCUUCUGAUAAUAACACAAUAAUGCUUAUUUUUGAUGGGCUAAUGGACUACAGUGGACCGUUCACCAACUAUGGUUUGGCUACUGAGCUUGCAAAUGGAAAUUGCUCUCUUCUAACUCCUA